UACGUAGGGUGCGAGCGUUAAUCGGAAUUACUGGGCGUAAAGCGUGCGCAGGCGGUUUUGUAAGCCAGAUGUGAAAUCCCCGGGCUCAACCUGGGAAUGGCAUUUGGGACUGCAAGGCUGGAGUGUGGCAGAGGAGACUGGAACUCCUGGUGUAGCAGUGAAAUGCGUAGAUAUCGGGAGGAACACCUAUGGCGAAGGCAGCUCGCUGGGACGUUACUGACGCUGAGACGCGAAAGCGUGGGGAGCAAACAGG
rnacentral:rRNA from 1 species